rnacentral:rRNA from 1 species
CAAAGGUUUGGUCCUGGCCUUGUGGUCAGUUAUUACUUACUAUACACAUGCAAGUAUCCGCCCCCCUGUGAAAACGCCCUUCAACCCCCAUUAGGGACAAGGAGCCGGUAUCAGGCGCGAAAAUCCGCCCAAGACACCUAGCUAUGCCACACCCACAAGGGAAUUCAGCAGUGAUUAACAUUGAGCAUUAGCGCAAGCUUGACUCAGUUAAAGUAUAGAGAGCCGGCUAAUCUGGUGCCAGCCGCCGCGGUUACACCACGUGACUCAAAUUGACCCCCUCCGGCGUAAAGCGUGAUUAAAGUUUCCACUUACUAGAGUUAAACUAAAACUAAGCUGUGACACGCCUGUUAUCAAGAAACCCAAAAACGAAAGUUACUCUAACACAACCAACUUGAACUCACGACAGCUGGG